GGCAAACUAAACUUCUUUCCACCCCCGGCUGCUCUUUUUGCCUGACCCCUGCCGUUCAUGGUGAGUAAUUAAAAUUAAUUAACUUGUCUGGUGUGUGCCUGAAACCAAUUACCCCAAUGUAAACUUGCUUGUUUUCAUGCGAGUGUUUUUUGGGCAGCUUGUUAAGCUGCAGUGGCCUCUUCUGGGGGAGUGAGAGAUGAUGGAUGUUUACCUGCACUGAGGAAGAAGUCACCGGGUGCAUCUGGAAAUAAGUUCUAUGGAUGCCAAUGUACAACUGGCAAACAGGACUACAGAUGAAAAUUAGCCAUCGGCUAACUCUGGCAUCUUACAGGUGUACUGUUGUACUG